GCAUUAGGUGUGAUUAAUGUAUUGUUAGAUCAAAGUUAACUACUAAUUAUGUUGCAUUAGAUGUGAUUUCUUCGUGUGACUCAUAGGCUAUAUAUAUUGAAUAUGCUGGAUUUGAAAUUUAUAGAUAAUUCCUCAAGAGAGUAUGAAAAUUUUGUCCGUCAAAGUACAAAGAGUACUUAACCCACAAAGACGGAAAAGGUACAAGAUAUACUCGACCCACUAAAAACCAACAUUCAAUCAAGAGUCAAUACAUAAGAGUGGAUGUGAAUGUCACGCAUAAUACAAAUAAUUUGCCCCUUUUUAUAGCUAGAAGCCAUCUCUAAGAGGUUAAUUUUAUUCCUUCUACAAUAUCCUCCAUCUCCACUCUCCUUAAAAAGAAAAUGAUCUUAUUCCUAACCUCCCAAAUCUUCCGUAUUGUGACAUACCAAAUGAAAGUUAGCUCCGUCGGGUGUUUUUUGCUCCAUGACAAGGUUGAGAAAUACUCAAAAAGAGAAAUAACAUUUUCGGGUAGAGAGAUGCCAACUUCGAUCCACGUAAAGAUCAAUUACCCUACUCUUCCAACAAAAAGACACCUAUAAACAAAUGAUCCUUCACCUCAACAGUCUCUAGACACCACACACAAUUUGGACCAUCUUCUACUAACACCCCCCACCCAUUGACGGUAAAUUCCCACAGGUUGGAAGUCUAUCAAGGAUAAGUUGCCACGAGAUCAUUUGAACCUUUGAUAGAGCUGAGCUAGUCCAUGUCCCCCUUAAACCCCUUCAAGUCGUCUCCCUCAAAUGAGAAGAAAAAAAUUAUCACUCAAUGCAACAUAUUGGGAUAUAACCGUGAAACCAUGUGAAGUAUAUCACACAACCAAUUGCACUUAUCCUCCUCUUUUGUGGCUUGACGAGAAUCUUACCAACCUUUUAACUCACCCAAAUCUUGGUUUCUCCCAUCCAAAAGGCCCCAUCCUCUAUUGAUAACUCCAAUUCCACUAAUUAUCUUUCCAUCACCUCAUUUUACUAAUUUUACUAUUCUUUUGAAGAAUUAAUGAAAAUAAACAAGGAAAUACUUGAGAGAAGGAUUUCCCACCACUAAGUAUAAUGCAAAAAAAAAAAAAAAAUGUUGAAUCCCCAUUUCAAAUAAUUUUCUUUGCAUACCCCAUAAAUGAAUUUUGAUUGUUAUCCAAACCCUUCCCUAAGGCAAACACAUCCAUCCACCAAGUUGAAGUAAAUUUAAAUUUAUUUCUAUAAAAAAAAAAAAUACCGAUACUCAGAUUUUCCUUUAUACUUCUUCAACAUGUCUUUCCACAAAACCUUUUUAUCGUUCAAUAAGCGUCAUUUCCACUUACUUACAUUGGCCAAAUUUAAAAACAUCAUUUCCUUCAUCUCCACCACCCACUCAAAGAGAGAAAUAACAUUUUCGGGUAGAGAGAUGUCAACUUUGAUCAACAUAAAGAUCAAUUACCCUACUCUUCCAAUAAAAAGACACCUAUAAAACAAAUGAUCCUUCACCUCAACAGUCUCUAGACACCACACACAAUUUGGACCAUCUUCUACUAACACCCCCCACCCACUGACGGUAAAUUCCCACAGGUUGGAAGCCUGUCAAGUAUAAGUUGCCCCGAGAUAAUUUGGAC
rnacentral:lncRNA from 1 species